UGUGGUAUUACGUCAUGAGGUUCAUGCUCGAUAUCGUCAACUAUUGCAAAGAUGUUGGUGAUCUUCGAAAGGUUUAUGCGAAUUCCACACCACGUUUGAGGAACUUCACCAAAGAAGAAAUAGAUGAAGUUCGGGAUAAGUUGGCGUCCCACAUUACCGAUGAUUGCAUAGGAUGACAUUUAGCUCGAAUGUACUAGUUUCUAUCAAUCCUAUGUACACUUUUUACAUUAUUAAAUAUAUUUGAAGUUAAUUAUUA